UACGUAGGCAGCGAGCGUUUGUUCGGAAUUACUGGGCGUAAAGCGUGCGCAGGCGGUUGUGCAAGACAGAUGUGAAAUCCCCGGGCUCAACCUGGGAAUUGCAUUUGUGACUGCACGGCUAGAGUGUGUCAGAGGGGGGUAGAAUUCCACGUGUAGCAGUGAAAUGCGUAGAGAUGUGGAGGAAUACCGAUGGCGAAGGCAGCCCCCUGGGAUAACACUGACGCUCAUGCACGAAAGCGUGGGGAGCAAACAGG
rnacentral:rRNA from 1 species